rnacentral:lncRNA from 1 species
CUACACUACCCUGUUCUAAAAAAUGGGAAUGUGCCCUGUAGAGGUUUAUAACCAAUGGGGUGUCAUGCGUUCCUACCAGCAUGGAUAACUGGGGUCAUACAACCAGAGCACAAACUACAGCCAGCCAUUAGAUUCUGGUGACUUACAGUGGCCAAAGACAUGCUUUCCUAGCAUGACGCACAGCAGAGCUGGUGAUGAAGAGGCUUCCUGCACACAUGUAUCUGGAAUCAUCAAGGUCAAGGGCUUGUUGUCACUUCUCGGACUGAUCUGGAUGGCCAAGAGGUGUGAACAUUGGAGUCCUCUGUGCUGCACCAGGCAGAAUGUGCAUGUGUAGGGUUGUGACACCCUGGUGGGACAUUUCUUUCACAUGUCAGCAUGAUUGACAGCCAACUGCCAUCCCCAUAUCACAUUCAUGUAACAAUGGCCUGGAUUUCACCUGAGCAACAGAGGAAUCUGUUGGAGAGAUUUGAGCCAGGUGGGUAAGAAGCUGAU